GACGAACGCUGGCGGCGUGCCUAACACAUGCAAGUCGAACGGAGAUGUUGAUUUCGGUUGACGUCUUAGUGGCGAACGGGUGAGUAACGCGUGAACAAUCUGACCUUAAGAGGGGGAUAACAACGAGAAAUCGUUGCUGAUACCGCAUAAGACCACAAUGCCGCAUGGCGAAGGGGUCAAAGGAGCAAUCCGCUUAAGGAGGGGUUCGCGUCCCAUUAGGUAGUAGGUGAGGUAACGGCCCACCUAGCCGACGAUGGGUAGCCGAGCUGAGAGGCUGAUCGGCCACACUGGAACUGAGACACGGUCCAGACUCCUACGGGAGGCAGCAGUGGGGAAUAUUGGGCAAUGGGCGCAAGCCUGACCCAGCAACGCCGCGUGAGGGAAGAAGGUUUUCGGAUUGUAAACCUCUGUCGCAGAUGACGAAACAAAUGACGGUAAUCUGUGAGGAAGCCCCGGCUAACUACGUGCCAGCAGCCGCGGUAAU
rnacentral:rRNA from 1 species